rnacentral:rRNA from 1 species
CAUAUCAAUAAGCGGAGGAAAAGAAACUAACAAGGAUUCCCCUAGUAACUGCGAGUGAAGCGGGAAAAGCUCAAAUUUAAAAUCUGGCGGUCUUUGGCUGUCCGAGUUGUAAUCUAGAGAAGUGUUAUCCGCGUUGGACCGUGUACAAGUCUCCUGGAAUGGAGCGUCAUAGAGGGUGAGAAUCCCGUCUUUGACACGGACUGCCAGGGCUUUGUGAUGCGCUCUCAAAGAGUCGAGUUGUUUGGGAAUGCAGCUCAAAAUGGGUGGUAAAUUCCAUCUAAAGCUAAAUAUUGGCGAGAGACCGAUAGCGAACAAGUACCGUGAGGGAAAGAUGAAAAGAACUUUGGAAAGAGAGUUAAACAGUACGUGAAAUUGCUGAAAGGGAAACGCUUGAAGUCAGUCGCGUUGACCAGGGAUCAACCUUGCUUUUGCUUGGUGCACUUUCUGGUUAACGGGUCAGCAUCAAUUUUGACCAUUGGAAAAAGGUCAGGGGAAUGUGGCAUCUUCAGAUGUGUUUAUAGCCCUUGGUUGCAUACAAUGGUUGGGAUUGAGGAACUCAGCACGCCGAAAGGCCGGGUUUUUAAACCACGUACGUGCUUAGGAUGCUGGCAUAAUGGCUUUAAUCGACCCGUCUUGAAACACGGACCAAGGAGUCUAACAUGCCUGCGAGUGUUUGGGUGGAAAACCCGAGCGCGCAAUGAAAGUGAAAGUUGAGAUCCCUGUCGUGGGGAGCAUCGACGCCCGGACCAGACCUUUUGUGACGGUUCCGCGGUAGAGCAUGUAUGUUGGGACCCGAAAGAUGGUGAACUAUGCCUGAAUAGGGUGAAGCCAGAGGAAACUCUGGUGGAGGCUCGUAGCGAUUCUGACGUGCAAAUCGAUCGUCAAAUUUGGGUAUAGGGGCGAAAGACUAAUUCGAACCAUCUAGUAGCUGG